rnacentral:rRNA from 1 species
CCCUUAGAUGUUCUGGGCCGCACACGCGCUACACUGAAGGAGGCAGCGUGUACUCCUGGAUCGAAAGAUUUGGGUAACCCGCGAAUCUCCUUCGUGCUAGGGAUUGAGGUUUGCAAUUAUCCUUCAUGAACGAGGAAUUCCCAGUAAGUGCAAGUCAUAAGCUUGCGCUGACUACGUCCCUGCCCUUUGUACACACCGCCCGUCGCUACUACCGAUUGAACGAUUUAGUGAGGACUUCGGACUGGGACCGAUGCGGCUUUCGGGCUGCGUCGGUAUUCUGGAAAGAUGUCCAAACUGUAUCAUUUAGAGGAAGUAAAANUCGUAACA